rnacentral:rRNA from 1 species
UGGGGAAUCUUCCGCAAUGGGCGAAAGCCUGACGGAGCAACGCCGCGUGAGUGAUGACGGCCUUCGGGUUGUAAAGCUCUGUGAUCGGGGACGAACGGUCAGCAGACGAAUACUCUGCUGAAGUGACGGUACCCGAAUAGCAAGCCACGGCUAACUACGUGCCAGCAGCCGCGGUAAUACGUAGGUGGCAAGCGUUGUCCGGAAUUAUUGGGCGUAAAGGGAGCGCAGGCGGGAGAUCAAGUCUAUCUUAAAAGUGCGGGGCUCAACCCCGUGAGGGGAUGGAAACUGGUCUUCUUGAGUGCAGGAGAGGAAAGCGGAAUUCCUAGUGUAGCGGUGAAAUGCGUAGAUAUUAGGAGGAACACCAGUGGCGAAGGCGGCUUUCUGGACUGUAACUGA